rnacentral:rRNA from 1 species
AUGAAUCUGUUUGCCUGGAACUGUCGAGGUUUGGGGUUGGACCCGACAGUUGGCGAACUUCGAGACCUGAUACGGUCCUACAACCCAGUGGUGGUUUUUCUAUGUGAGACUAAGAAGAAGGCAAGGGCUAUGGAUAGAUUGAAGUGGAGUCUAGGUUUCAGACAAGGGGUGGCGAUGGACUACAAUGGAAAGAGUGGAGGUCUAGCUUUGUGGUGGAGGGAUGAGUUGCAAGUAUGGAUAAGCACUACAAAAAAAUACACUUCCGUGAUGAUACAUGUUUGUCACAGUAGGUCGCGUUUUUUGUGA